rnacentral:misc_RNA from 1 species
GAUGAAGAACGUAGCGAAAUGCGAUACGUAAUGUGAAUUGCAGAAUUCAGUGAAUCAUCGAGUCUUUGAACGCACAUUGCGCCCCCUGGUAUUCCGGGGGGCAUGCCUGUCCGAGCGUCAUUGCUGCCCUCAAGCACGGCUUGUGUGUUGGGCCUCCGUCCUCCUCCCGGGGGACGGGCCCGAAAGGCAGCGGCGGCACCGCGUCCGGUCCUCGAGCGUAUGGGGCUUCGUCACCCGCUCUUGUAGGCCCGGCCGGCGCUUGCCGACACAUCAAUCUUUUUUCCAGGUUGACCUCGGAUCAGGUAGGGAUACCCGCUGAACUUAAGCACAUCAAUAAGCGGAGGA